AUUCUUCUUCUUUUCUACAAUCUUUGUAUCUAAAAGUUCUAAAAAACUAUAUAUUAUUUUAUCUAGAGGUGUGUAUUAGGAUGAGAUGAAUAUUUUACUGGAUGUGUAUCAAUUAAGCAUACACUAUAUUUCAGUGAAUACUAAGUUCGGUAAACUAUAUAUCAAUUUAUCUGUAGGUAUGUAUUGGAUCAUUGUUGGAUAUAUAUCA
rnacentral:lncRNA from 1 species